CGAUGUGACGUCACGAAGUGAGGAUGGCGCAACAGAAGAACCCACUUCGUAAGUUCAUUGUUUAGCCACGAACUUAUUUUGGUUUAAAUUGAGUUUUGAAGAUAAGAUUUUGCAGAACUUGGUAUGUGACGUCACAGAGGAUCAAGCGGGCAAUGUAACGAAAGAAAAAUUAAGAAAAGUCAGCAAAUAAAGCUGCCGAAGAAAAGCGCAAGACGAAGAACAAAGACGAAGACGCCAAUAAAGGAUACACGGUUUGAGGUUUGAGGUUUGAGAUUUAUAAGUAUGGGGUGUCUGUGAGUCUUGUCUGCGCUGCUAUAUUCCUGUUUUGCUGCUGGACCUAAUGUUGCCAGCUAUUUUUGGUCAGUCACUAUACAGUGCAUUUUGCAUUUUACUAAAAUAUCUGCAAUGAAACUUGGCGAACAUCUUGCUGGAUCGGAUUUUGUUGUUGUACACUCUAUUGUGUGUUUCUUCUACAAAUAUCGAACCCUUUAACGAUUCUGUAUUGUCUUGAUCGCUUGGUAAGAACGCUGUGUUGGUAUCCAAAUACUCGAGUAAUAUUAACAUGUAGUAUAAUAUUCGCAUAAAUGUGAUGGUAAUUUUUGAAAUAUACUGUAACGUAAACUUUCCCACGUGACUAACUUUCUAUUAAAACGUCUGUAGCGGGAUUGGGACGAUGGCCACGUCACAAUUACGCUAUGACGUCGAUAGUGGGGUCAGAGCAUUGUCCUGACUCUGCGUUCGGUGCGGUUACGUCAGUUUUGACUGAGUUACGGUCAGGUUGUUGCGUGGACGUCGCCGCCAGUGAUGCUACGCUCGGUUUUAGGUCACUGUCAAUGCGGUUCGUAACAACCUGACGCAGUUUCGUAACGGUCGAUGCGGUACGUAACAUCCGGACGAUAAUAUAUUGCGUGAAGAUACGACGAGAGUAUCGCGGUACCAACAUGGCGACUUGCCUUGCGAUUGGGACGUGCGGAGCUGUUAUUGGAUUCGACUCUUUGCAGUCGGACAUUCAAUAUGGUGUACACUGCAGAUGAUUAUCCUUCAGGAUUUGAACUAUAUUUUCUUUGAAGGUGUUUUAUUGAACAUGUCCGCGUUAAUUCGUUAUGAAUCGCGUCCCACUUUUUGUAUGCUUGAGCUGUUGGGUUUGUUGCAUGUUUGGCACAUUUUUUCUCUGCACACGUUGUACUAUUUUUGUCUUUUUUUGAUGUUGUAUACGUUGUACUAUUUUUGUCUA